rnacentral:rRNA from 1 species
AUAUAUAGCCAUACCACCCUGAACACACCAGAACUCUUCUUAUUUUGAAAGCUUAUCAGGGUUGAGCCUAGUUUGUAUUUGAUGAGAGAAUAUUCAAGAAUUAUGAGAC